AUCGACAGGGAAUACGCUGAGAGUCGGGGAGGCGGUGGAUGUUACAGCUGCUCCUGAUGGCGGCGAUGGCGUCCCGGAUGUUGGCCCCGUGGUGGUCGGGCAGGUUGCGCGGCAUAUUACAGCAUCUUGUGGUUAACUUUGGUUCAAACUAGUAUAUGUAGUUCCUAACUACCUACCGGCCCCAUAGCAGAAGCGUCCACGUCGCGGGGCUGGAAACUGAAAGUAUCCCAAGCUAAUUCUGCUACCACCAUCAUCUAUUGCAACAAGUGAUGGCUCCCACUGAUUCUCGAAGGAAGGUUGCUCCCUUUUCAGGAUGGAAGAUGACAGCGAUGCCAGCAUAUGAAACAUGCAAGAUGGACACGAAAGAAGAAUAACUGCCUGCCUGCCUGUCUGUCUUCGUGCCCGCCGGCAGCCCACCUUCCGUCCUUCCGUCCAUCCGUCUGUCCGUUUGUCUGUCUGUAUAUAUGUCUGAAUGUCUGUCCAUCUAAAAUAUAGAAACAGAGACAGAGAAGUAGAGUGAUAGACAGACAGACUGGUAGACAGAUAUACAGACAGGGAUGCAGAGAAACAGACAUACAUAGAGACAGUGACACAGAGAGACAGAGACUGAGUCAGGUGCAUGGACAGAUGAAAAUGGAGUCAGAUAGAACUGGAAGGAGAUUGAUCGGUAAGAAGGAGGAGGAACAGAGAUAGAGGGAGGGAUGCAGGGCACGUGCCCAUUCAACGGCGACCAGUUUGCGGGUGAGAGAGAGGCUGGAGUGGCGGCGUAAUCGAUAGAUGAACAAAAGGAAGGGGCGAGAGAGCGUGGGAGGGUUCUGGAGCACGAAAGCGUAGAACACCUGAAAGUUGAUUGGUGCGAAUGAAGGAGGGGGGCGUGUGCGACCCAUAAUCCGUGUAACCAAAGGUUUCAGAUACACGGGCAAAGAGCGUGAGUAGAUUCAUCGCUCCUGCCCUCACUGCUGAGAGAACAAACCCGGGAGAAAGAUGUUUCUGAUACUGAGUCUGGUCCUAUCCGCUCACUAUGCUACCUCGGUGACGAUCCAUCAGACUCCUGUCGCUCUGUCCGGAUCUCCGGGCCAGAAGAUGGAGAUGGAGUGUACUAUCGAGGGCGGCAGCGGUGCUGAGUAUAUGUACUGGUACAGACAAUACCCAGGGUUUGGGCUACAGGACAUGUUCUACUCAAUAGGAGUCAACAACGUGCACCCAGAUGGGCAGGUGAACGGUUUUACGGCAAAGAGAACGGACGCAAAAAAAUUUCACCUAAAGUCCGCCGGCUUAUAUGCGAACUCAUCGGCCCAGUAUUUCUGCGCCUGGAGUCUACACAGUGACUCAGAUAAAUGGGGGAAGACACACAAAAACCUCACUGCCUCAUCCGCUGACAGUGAACGCUCCCUCGGGCAGAGAGGUUCCCGUAUCUCCGAGAGUCUACACAUGUGUGUCUAAUUAAAUACAUUGAUAUGUUGUAAGAAUACAAGUUGCCCUCUCCCAGUUCACUCUUCAGGACUUUUCUUCCUCUGGAUCUUACCGGUCAUCCAUUCGCCCAUUCGUUGACUGGUCAGAAUCUCUCUCCCUCUCUCUCUCUCUCUCUCUCUUUUUUUGGGGGGUUACAAGCAACUAUGUUUAUUGCAGGAAAAAAAAAAAAAAAAAAAAAAAAAAAAAAAAAAAAAAAAAAAAGG